GUGGGGAAUAUUGGACAAUGGGCGAAAGCCUGAUCCAGCCAUGCCGCGUGUGUGAAGAAGGUCUUCGGAUUGUAAAGCACUUUAAGUUGGGAGGAAGGGCAGUAAGUUAAUACCUUGCUGUUUUGACGUUACCGACAGAAUAAGCACCGGCUAACUUCGUGCCAGCAGCCGCGGUAAUACGAAGGGUGCAAGCGUUAAUCGGAAUUACUGGGCGUAAAGCGCGCGCAGGUGGUUUUGUAAGUUGGAGGUGAAAUCCCCGGGCUCAACCUGGGAACGGCCUCCAAAACUGCAUUACUAGAGUACGGUAGAGGGUAGUGGAAUUUCCUGUGUAGCGGUGAAAUGCGUAGAUAUAGGAAGGAACACCAGUGGCGAAGGCGACUACCUGGACUGAUACUGACACUGAGGUGCGAAAGCGUGGGGAGCAAACAGGAUUAGAAACCCUUGUAGUCC
rnacentral:rRNA from 1 species